rnacentral:SRP_RNA from 2 species
GCCAGGCGUGGUGGCGCACACCUGUAAUCCCAGCUACUCAGGAGGCUGAGGCAGGAGAAUCACUUGAAUCCAGGAGGCGGAGGUUGUAGUGAGCCGAGAUUGUGCCACUGCACUCCAGCCUGGGCAACAGAGUGAGACUCUGUCUCAA